UUAGCACACAACUUAUCAAGGAACCCAUAGGAUCUUGGUUACCAUUUGAAGACAGAUUCUGUUUUUGUUCUUGUUUUGUUUUAACAAAGCCCAACAUGUAGUGCCAACUCUGAGGUCUUCUCCCGCAGCACACUGGUCGCCCUCCUCCAGAGGAGAAACUUGAAGGGUAAACUCACGAGCACUGCUCACAUCCAGGCGGUACCGCAUAAAUGAGCAGUCACCCGAGGUUUUUCUCAAAUUCUGGAUCCUCUUGCUUCUGGCCCUGAAUAUUGCUGUUACAGACGUGCAGAGACUCAAGGGUCA
rnacentral:lncRNA from 1 species